CAAUUAAAUUUUAUUUUCUUUUUUAAAUUCUUUUUAGUUUCAAAGCUCUAUCUUUUAUCUCCAUAUCUCGUUGCAUGUCUGCACUUGACUUUGCCAACCAACAAGCCGAUUAUUUUCUGAUUGGACCAUUUUCAUAGCAGAUGAAAAACCUUCAUCGAUUAUUCUCUUCAUUUUUGCUUUCUUCGCCCCAAUAGGUCGUUCUAAUAAUGUGGAAUCACCUGCAACAUCCUCAUUCAAAUUUAGUGAAAAUGUUGAUAAGUUAGGAGAUGAUACUAGAGGUGAAUCAGGAGUAGGAGUCUCAGACGCCGAUGAUAUAUAAGAAGAGUCUUGCUUUCGAACUUUUUUUCUUCCAACAUCGACAUCCUUAAACUUCUCAAAAUCAUUCAACAUAUCCCACACAUGAUCAAAUUUAAAACUUUUUUUUAUAGUUCGGAUCUUGCAUAAGUAAGCGUUUUGCUUGAUUAAUCUGCAAUAUUUAAAAAAAAUUGAAGAUAAACUAUAAGUAAAUAUAUACAAAUAAAGUAUAAGUAAUUACAAAAUAAAUACUGACAAUAUCUUUAUCUGAAGCACCACUAAGAUGCAAAUUUUCAACUUGUCGUACACGACCAUUUAAUUUUCUUAUAGCCUUCUCAAUAACUUGAAUUCAAGAUUGCACCGAUCUUUUGUUGCGAUACUCCCAACACUCAUCAUUUGCAUUAUUUUAUGCUUCUUCCACUCGACUCCAAAAAUGAUCUCUAGAUUGAUGUACACACGUUAUUGGAUCUUGAGAAAUAUCUAAAUAAACUUAGCAUAAUAGCAUAUCUUUUGGUAAUGUAUCUUUUAAAUCGAGUAGACAUUUUUUGCAAGUGAUUAGAGGAAAAGUGGAUUAUAUGUCUAAAGAAAAACAAAAGUCAACUUCGUAUAGAUGGGUAUGUUGGCACUUUAAUAUAUAUAGAUACAAGUAGAGCCAAAAAUUGACAUAAUACAUACUUAGAUUUCAUCUUGAUUUCAACCGUUGGAUGGAUUUCAUCCUAAUUUCAACCGUCGGAUGGAUUUCAUCCUUAACUCCAAUUUAGCUUUAGGUAAAAUAUCUUUACACAUUCUUCAAUGUGUAGAGAUAAAGUAGACACAAUUAUUGACCGGAUAAUAAUAGGAUAGAUUUUAUCUUGAUCUCAACCGUCGGAUGGAUUUCAUCCUUAUCUCAAAUUUAUCUUUUGGUAAAAUAUCUCUGCACAUACUUCAAUCUAUAAAAAUGAAUAUCAUUUAGGAAAAUAACUCAAGAUUCCAAUUCAUUUCAAAAUCAAGUCAAAUAUUCUUAUUUGUCUUCUGAAAAUGAAUUCCUAUACUGGAGGUUUAUCUAAUAAUAAUGAUGAAAAUUCCUCUUCAUCAUCAUCAUCUUUAAAUUUUGAUGAUACUAUUGUAGAAUGACAUCAAGUUAUCUUGCAAAAUAUUCGCAUGAAGAACUAUAUGUUGCAGCAUUUGCAAGAAUAUUAAAAUAAUGAAGUUUUCAGAGUUGGCUCCGUUCCAGGUCAUUUGGUAAUAAUCGAGAUCGUGAAGUAGCUGAUAAUAUAUUUCUCGAUUAUUUUUCAGAUAAUCCACGCUUUAAUGACGAAUGUAGGUAUACGGUUUGCUAGCGGAUGCCACUGACAAAUAUGUGAAAAUUGAAGAGUCAACUACAAAGCAUUAAGAGGUUUUGUUGAGCUAUCGUAGAGGUUUUUGGCGAGCAGUAUUUGAGAUCACCAACAAUUAACGAUGUUGCAAUGCUUCUUUGCAUCGGUGAACAACGUGGUUUUCCAAGAAUGCUAGGAAGUCUAGAUUGCAUGCAUUGGAGAUGGAAAAAUUGUCCAACAACAUGGGCUGGACAAUAUGCAGGUCGUAGCGGAUCCCCAACAAUUAUUCUUGAAGUUGUAACUGGUUAUGAUCUUUGGAUAUGGGAGGCAUAUUUUGGUAGGCCCGACACCAAUAAUGAUAUUAAUGUUUUAGACUCAUCACAUUUGUCUUCCAAGCUUGCUAAAGGUAUUGCUCCUCCCGCCCAUUAUGUUGUUAAAGGAAAAGAAUAUGAUGUGGGUUAUUAUUUAGUUGACAGUAUAUAUCCAAAAUGGUCUGCUAUGUGCAAACUAUUCCUGAG